CACAUGCAAGUCGGGCGGCAGCGCGGGGGCAACCCUGGCGGCGAGCGGCGAACGGGUGAGUAAUACAUCGGAACGUACCCAGUCGCGGGGGAUAGCCCGGCGAAAGCCGGAUUAAUACCGCAUACGCCCUGAUGGGGGAAAGCGGGGGACCGGAAACGGCCUCGCGCGAUUGGAGCGGCCGAUGGCGGAUUAGCUAGUUGGUGGGGUAAAGGCCUACCAAGGCGACGAUCCGUAGCUGGUCUGAGAGGAUGAUCAGCCACACUGGAACUGAGACACGGUCCAGACUCCUACGGGAGGCAGCAGUGGGGAAUUUUGGACAAUGGGCGCAAGCCU
rnacentral:rRNA from 1 species